ACAACUUUCAACAAUGGAUCUCUUGGCUCUUGCAUCGAUGAAGAACGCAGCGAAAUGCGAUAAGUAAUGUGAAUUGCAGAAUUCAGUGAAUCAUCGAAUAUUUGAACGCAUCUUGCACUCCUUGGUAUUCUGAGGAGUAUGCCUGUUUGAGUGUCAUUU
rnacentral:rRNA from 1 species